UACGUAGGGUGCAAGCGUUGUCCGGAAUUAUUGGGCGUAAAGAGCUCGUAGGCGGUUUGUUGCGUCGGCUGUGAAAUCCCGAGGCUCAACCUCGGGUCUGCAGUCGAUACGAGCAAACUAGAGUGUUGCAGGGGAGACUGGAAUUCCUGGUGUAGCGGUGAAAUGCGCAGAUAUCAGGAGGAACACCAGUGGCGAAGGCGGGUCUCUGGGGCAACAACUGACGCUGAGGAGCGAAAGCGUGGGGAGCGAACAGG
rnacentral:rRNA from 1 species